GGAGUUCCCGCCAGCCCAGCCUCCACAGACCCUCCUCCCAGCUGGAGGCAGGCCUCCACCCGGCUGCCUGCAGGACAUGGGCUUCUGAGGGUGUCUCUGAACAUCCUGGAGUCCUGGGGGCACAGAGGGCUUGGGGACAAGUCGCACUUGGCAGUCCUGCAGACGCAGACACUUCCGCUGCCCUCGCCCUCGCAGCCCUGCUCUCCUGAGCAGACUGGCUCCCCGGGAGCCUCCUCUCUCUGCGGGGCCUGGUGAACACAGUGUCCUUCUCUGCCCCAGCAAGGCGGCUUCGGCCUCACGCACCUCCUGUCCGGGAGGCCCUGGCCCAGCCUCUCUGCCCGUCGCCCUGCUCUCUGCUCCCCGUGCGCCUGUCCGAGUUGUCUCUUCUCAUGAGGACGCCAGGCCCAUUGGACUAAGACCCCCCACAUGAUCGUAUUUCAUUUGAAUCACCUCUUUGAAGGUUCUGUCUCCAAAUAUAGCCACAUUACGAUGAGCUGGGAGUUGGGGCUUCGAUGUAGGAAUCUUGGGGGGAGGGGCACACAAUUACAUCCCUAAGUGAUAGCCACCAAGACAUGCUACACAGUCUGCUUCCCAAAGUCUUCAGCGCAAGCCACAAGAGCAGAAUAAUGUUGGCUUUGCAAUUCUUAUAGAUAAGAGUCUUACCAAGUAUUUCCCACUGUGUGACUGACAGGGUGCCAUCUUUUCUGCCUUCCGUAGCUGUUUCUUUGUCAACUGUAUCCAGCCCCUCAGCCCACCCUAUGUGUCUGUGGUUGCAGCCCACUACUUCUAAGAGUCUGUAUCAGUCAGAUUUUGCUAGAUUAUGCUGUAUAACAAACAUCCCCUGAAUACCAGUAGUUUGCCAUAGUCAAGGUUUAUUUUCAUUCAGGUUUAACAUUGGCUACUCCCACUCCAGCCCCACCACACUGCUUCACAUGCCCUCUUUGUUCUGGGGUCCAGUCUGACAGCAGACCCCCCACACAGAACAUCCACCAGACAGAAAAGAGACAGAGGGCUGGUCAAGCUGCCACCAAGCUCUUAAAACUUCUGCCGGGCAGCAGCACAUGGCCACACCUGCUUCACUGAUCAGCUGGCAGUGGGUGCAGAUCUGUGCUCUUGGGGUAGGAGGGGGUACAGCCUUCCUGGGCAGGGGAUUCCUGGGAACCUUGGCUCACCUGUGGCUGAGAUGUGGCUGUGGAAGAGUAUUGCUUAGCAUACUUGAGGCCCUGGUUUCAUCGAGAGAGAGAGAGAGAGAGAGAGAGAGAGAGAGAGAGAGAGAGAGAGAGAGACCCAUCUUCCACAAUACUUACCCUGUGGGGCUUUGCAUGCCACGCCGAUUCCUUACUGUAGCCCCUUCUUUUUUGGGGGAGUACUAGGAUUAAACUCAGGGGCUCUAGACCACUGAGCCACAUCCCCAGCCCUAUUUUGUGUUUUAUUUAGAGACAGGGUCUCACUGAGUUGCUGAGCACCUCACCAUUGCUGAGGCUGGCUUUGAACUUGCAAUCCUCCUGUCUCAGCCUCCCGAGCUGCUGGGAUCACAGGUGUGGCCACUGCACCCGGCCCACAGCCCCUUAUGGAGAAGACUGAGGCUUUGCAGUGUUCACUGUGUGCACCUGUUAGAGUCUGUAAACAAGUCAGGAUGGCGCCUGGCAUUUUGCAGAGGGAGUGGUUUGUGAAGUAACGCCAGCGAGACAUUAAGUGUGGAGAUUCCUUAUUGGUUGACUGCUGUAUCUAGUUUAUGCUAAUUAAGAUAAGCUGUGUGGAAUGUAUAAAUACCCCUCCUGUCCUACAAUAAACGGCUCCCACUCCUGCUGCAUCAAUCUACACAAGUUGCUCGUCACCUCCCGGUUAUUUUGCUGCAGCUGGACUGUGGCAUGCACGGAGAUGCAGCCCAGGGACCUCGGGGCUCUCUGUGCACACAAGGUCCUCUUCACAUUGCAUCUCUGUUCUCAGAGGCUGGGCCAAAGGACUCCUGGCUGAGGAUGUGGACCUCGUGGCCUGCACAAUAUCAGCAUGUCAUGGUUUGAGCCGAGGUGGGGGGGCCGUGAGCCAGCCC
rnacentral:lncRNA from 1 species